rnacentral:rRNA from 1 species
CCCUUAGAUGUUCUGGGCCGCACACGCGCUACACUGAAGGAGGCAGCGUGUACUCCUGGAUCGAAAGAUUUGGGUAACCCGCGAAUCUCCUUCGUGCUAGGGAUUGAGGUUUGCAAUUAUCCUUCAUGAACGAGGAAUUCCCAGUAAGUGCAAGUCAUAAGCUUGCGCUGACUACGUCCCUGCCCUUUGUACACACCGCCCGUCGCUACUACCGAUUGAAUGAUUUAGUAAGGACUUCGGACUGGGACCGAUGCGGCUUUCGGGCUGCGUCGGUAUUCUGGAAAGAUGUCCAAACUGUAUCAUUUAGAGGAAGUAAAAGUCGUAACA